GCAAUUGGCCAUUAGAUUGAACAUCCCUCUUCACCAGCCAUCCAGAGCCACCAAAGCUACAGGAAUGAUGUGGGCAGGCCAGAGCAACCCAAGGAGACUGGCAGAGAGACGUCAGACUUCAGAGCCAAGAUCUGGGCAGCCACCACCACUACUUAUCCCAAAUAAUAGUGCCAGGCCACUGCACAGAAGCAAACCUGCAAGUUGGAGGAGCAAGACACAUGCAGCUACAAAAUGUCAGUGCUUGUCUCACCAACACAUCCCACAGCCCUGCUGACUGACAGAGGAUAAGGACCAAUUUCAAGCAUGAGUAAGACUUACAAGAACAUAACAGGAUAAGGCAUUAAAAGCAAACAAAGAACAUCCCUACCUGCUAAGUGUAUUCAUUUCACUGUCAAGUUCUUUUGCACAAAAGAAUCCCAGAGCAAUGAAACUGGCUCUCUAGUGAGUAUUUUGAGGAACUGGCAAUGAUAUCUAGCAAUUGUCACUAAAUUAAAUAGAAGUACCAAGUACUUCCAUCAUCCCACAAUUCCACUUUCCACUCUUCAAGCAGACAGAAGCAGAAUAUUUCUCUUUUUGAGAAUUACCAUAACAGGUCACCUAAAGCUUGUAUCUCAAAAUUCCCUUCAUAUUUUAAAUUAUAACUAACCUAAAACAAAGGUAAUUUUAAAUAAUGCCAAAAGGUAAAUAAUUAAAGAUUAUAACAAUCCUGA